rnacentral:rRNA from 1 species
UACGUAGGGUGCAAGCGUUGUCCGGAAUUAUUGGGCGUAAAGAGCUCGUAGGUGGUCUGUUGCGUCGGCUGUGAAAACCCGAGGCUCAACCUCGGGCCUGCAGCCGAUACGGGCAGACUAGAGUUCGGCAGGGGAGACUGGAAUUCCUGGUGUAGCGGUGAAAUGCGCAGAUAUCAGGAGGAACACCGGUGGCGAAGGCGGGUCUCUGGGCCGAUACUGACACUGAGGCGCGACAGCGUGGGGAGCAAACAGG